GGUGUGCACUGUCGUGUCCCGGUCUACGUCUGGUUUCAAUCUAUAGUGCUCUUAACCGGGUGCUAUAGAAUGCCAGAAAGUUUACUCUGGAAAAAAUUAGAGUGCUUAAAGCAAGCCGUUGUGCUUGAAUACUGUGCAUGGAAUAAUGGAAUAGGACCUCGAUCUUAUUUUGUUGGUUUUCGGAGUCGAGGUAAUGAUUAAGAAGGAACAGACGGCGGCAUUCGUAUGCGCCGUUAGAGGUGAAAUUCUUGGAUCGGCGGCAAGACGAACAACUGCGAAAGCAUUUGCCAAGGAUGUUUUCAUUAAUCAAGAACGAAAGUCAGAGGUUCGAAGACGAUCAGAUACCGUCGUAGUUCUGACCAUAAACGAUGCCAACUGGCGAUCCGCCGUAGUCUGGCUUAAAGGACUCGGCGGGCAGCCUCCGGGAAACCUAAGUCUAUGGGUUCCGGGGGAAGUAUGGUUGCAAAGCUGAAACUUAAAGGAAUUGACGGAAGGGCACCACCAGGAGUGGAGCCUGCGGCUUAAUUUGACUCAACACGGGAAAACUCACCCGGCCAGGACACCGUAAGGAUUGACAGACUGAGAGCUCUUUCUUGAUUCGGUGGGUGGUGGUGCAUGGCCGUUCUUAGUUGGUGGAGCGAUUUGUCUGGUUAAUUCCGAUAACGAACGAGACUCUAGCCUGCUAAAUAGACGGGCGAUCCCAUUGUGGGUCGACCCGAUCAGCUUCUUAGAGGGACAAGUGG
rnacentral:rRNA from 1 species